UAUUGCGCAAUGGGCGAAAGCCUGACGCAGCGACGCCGCGUGAGGGAUGAAGGUCUUCGGAUCGUAAACCUCUGUCAGGAGGGAAGAAGUGGUUAUAUGCGAAUAGUGUAUGACUUUGACGGUACCUCCAAAGGAAGCACCGGCUAACUCCGUGCCAGCAGCCGCGGUAAUACGGAGGGUGCGAGCGUUAAUCGGAAUCACUGGGCGUAAAGCGCGCGUAGGCGGCUUUUCAAGUCAGGGGUGAAAUCCCACGGCCCAACCGUGGAACUGCCUUUGAAACUGUAGAGCUUGAGUGUCGGAGAGGGUGGCGGAAUUCCAGGUGUAGGAGUGAAAUCCGUAGAUAUCUGGAGGAACACCGGUGGCGAAGGCGGCCACCUGGACGACAACUGACGCUGAGGUGCGAAAGCGUGGGUAGCAAACAGGA
rnacentral:rRNA from 1 species